rnacentral:misc_RNA from 1 species
GAUGAAGAACGUAGCGAAAUGCGAUAAGUAGUGUGAAUUGCAGAAUUCAGUGAAUCAUCGAAUCUUUGAACGCACAUUGCGCCCCUCGGUAUUCCGUGGGGCAUGCCUGUUCGAGCGUCAUUUAACCCCUCAAGCCUAGCUUGGUAUUGGGUGCUUGUCCCGCCUCUCGCGCGGCGACUCACCUCAAAGUCAUUGGCAGCCCGCAUCUCGCCGGCCGUGAGCGCAGCACAGACGCGCUAUUGGCAACGACGGAUCGGCUCUCCAAAAGCUUAUUUCAACCACUGACCUCGGAUCAGGUAGGGAUACCCGCUGAACUUAAGCAUAUCAAUAAGCGGAGGA